rnacentral:rRNA from 1 species
ACGAACGCUGGCGGCGUGCUUAACCCAUGCAAGUCGCACGGAAAGGCCCUGCUUUUGUGGGGUGCUCGAGUGGCGAACGGGUGAGUAACACGUGAGUAACCUGCCCUUGACUUUGGGAUAACUUCAGGAAACUGGGGCUAAUACCGGAUAGGAGCUCCUGCUGCAUGGUGGGGGUUGGAAAGUUUCGGCGGUUGGGGAUGGACUCGCGGCUUAUCAGCUUGUUGGUGGGGUAGUGGCUUACCAAGGCUUUGCCGGGUAGCCGGCCUGAGAGGGUGACCGGCCACAUUGGGACUGAGAUACGGCCCAGACUCCUACGGGAGGCAGCAGUGGGGAAUAUUGCACAAUGGGCGGAAGCCUGAUGCAGCAACGCCGCGUGCGGGAUGACGGCCUUCGGGUUGUAAACCGCUUUCGCCUGUGACGAAGCGUAAGUGACGGUAAUGGGUAAAGAAGCACCGGCUAACUACGUG